rnacentral:tRNA from 4 species
GCGGGGGUGCCCGAGCCUGGUCAAAGGGGGCGGACUCAAGAUCCGUUGGCGUAGGCCUGCGUGGGUUCAAAUCCCACCCCCCGCACCA